rnacentral:misc_RNA from 1 species
CAGCACGUGGCAUUGGAGGUUAUGGCCAAUUUGAUGAAGUUGAUCUAAUUGACAGAAACGACCAGCAGCAGUUUUUGGCCAGUGCAGAUUAUUUAAGUUCUUUUGGCCUGCCCACCUUAAUCUCUAGUUUUGAAGGAGCAACUUCUGAAGUCCUAGAAGGAAAACAGCUGAAGGAUUUUUUCAACACUACUGUACUUCAUGAUAGUGUUAUUCAGAUAUUGAACACCUUCAUGAGCAUGGGAAGUCCUCAUCACUGGCUGAGUUUUUUGAUGCCAGAGGACUCUAAGCCAAAUAACUUAGGUGUAACCUCGAGCACUGGCAGCACAGAUCUGUGUAACGCAUCCAAAUUUGAACAACUUAUG